GACGUCGAAUAUCGACGUCAUAAACACCAAAGUUGAUCGUGUUUAUGACGUCGAAUAUCGACGUCAUAAACAGCAAAGUUGAUCGUGUUUAUGACGUCGAAUAUCGACGUCAUAAACACCAAAUUUGAUCGUGUUUAUGACGUCGAAUAUCGACGUCAUAAACACCAAAGUUGAUCGUGUUUAUGACGUCGAAUAUCGACGUGAUAAACACCAAAGUUGAUCGUGUUUAUGACGUCGAAUAUCGACGUC
rnacentral:miRNA from 1 species